UACAGAGGUCCCAAGCGUUGUUCGGAUUCACUGGGCGUAAAGGGUGCGUAGGUGGUUAGGUAAGUCCGAUGUGAAAUCUCCAGGCUCAACCUGGAAAUGGCAUUGGAUACUAUCUAGCUUGAGGAGUGGAGGGGGGACUGGAAUUCUCGGUGUAGCAGUGAAAUGCGUAGAUAUCGAGAGGAACACCAGUGGCGAAGGCGAGUCCCUGGACAAUUCCUGACACUGAGGCGCGAAAGCUAGGGGAGCAAACGGG
rnacentral:rRNA from 1 species